rnacentral:lncRNA from 1 species
GAUGAUGAUGUCAUGGAGAAGUUUAAAUUGUAACUUUCUCCUCCUCCGCCACCACCACCCGUUGUCACCGCCGGUACGAAACUGUCUUGAAGGAAGGAGAAAUGGUGUUGUGGGUUGUUGUUGUUGUUGUUGUGGUGUUGGUGUUGGUGGUUAUCUCCGGCGGUGAUGUUGAAUUGUGGUAUUUGGAUUAGUUGGGUUGAAGGUUGUGUAGGUCGAGCGAAGAAAUAAUCCAUCGGAGUUGCCCAGUGGGUUCUUGACUCUGGACUGUGACGGCGGACGUUGGUGUUGCUGUGAAUGCCGCCGGUGAGAAGAUCCGUGAAAGACGAGUUUUCCGAAAUACUAUUGACCUGAUUCAAAAC